ensembl:lncRNA
CUUGGAGUAAAGCAGACUACGCUGAGAAUCCGAUGUACUGCAGGUAGUGAAAACUGUCUAACCCCCUGAAGUUUGCAAUGCUCAUGUGAAGUACUGUAUACUCCAUAAGUAAAACCUCCUGCCCCAGAAAUCCAAGGGAGGGUGAAAGAACUCACUUGAAGGUUUGUCUCUUUGAAAAAGACCUGAGGGAAGGAAAAAAGGUCCAUUCCAGGGCUCGCAGAAUAAGUGUAUUUAGAUACUCCUCCUUAAGAAAGGACCCAGAUGCAAGCAAGAAUGGCAUCUGCCGGGGCUGACCCCCAGCCGUCAGGGCAGGGAGCCUGCGACAGCGUGCAGGGAGGGCAGCACCCCUGCCUGGGGAUGAGGUUCCAAGCAGUGCUGGGACCAGGACAGAGAUACCACGAGGAAGGCAGCAUUACUUAAGGGAGAAGACGACUGUCGUUCGUGCGCCCCCCUUUAGAUGCUGAAAGACCACUAUCAUAUCUCCCCGGAACCUUCUCCAGGCUGAACAGCCCCAGCUCUCUCAGAUUGUCCUCAGAGGAGAGGUGUUCCAUCCCUUGGAUGUUUUUUGUGUCCCUCCUCUGGACCUGCUCCAACAGCUCCAUGUCUCUCCUGUACUGAGGACUCCACAUCUGCACGCAGUACUCCAGGUGAGGCCUCACCAGCACAGAGCAGAGGGGCAGGAUCACCUCCCUUGCUCUGCUGGCCACACUGCUUUUGAUGCAGCCUCAGGGCUUUCCAUCUUUACUCCAAAUUAUUCACGCACCACAAAACUCCUUGAACACACAGUGAAGGGUGCUUAAGGCCCACGUGGC